GGGGCAGUGGCGUAGUUGGCAGUGCGUUGUUUUGACUGAAGUUUCAACUUCAUUUACAAUAUGUAUAGCAAUAAUCACUUAAGAAAUACCGAGUUUAAUCGGGAGGUCACCGGCUCGAUCCUGGUCUACCCCC